rnacentral:misc_RNA from 1 species
CACAAUAAACAUAUGAAGGCUGCACCGCCAACAGGCGGCAAGGCUGGAGUAUUUUAUUACCCUUGUCUUUGCGCACUUGUUGUUUCCUGGGCGGGUUCGCCCGCCUCCAGGACCACAUGAUAAACCUAUUUUAUGCAGUUGCAAUCAGCGUCAGUACAACAAAUGUAAAUCAUUUA